GCGAGAGUAACUCAGUUGGCUAGAGUGCCGUCCUUCCAAGUCGGAUGUCGCGGGGUUCGAAUCCCGUCUCUCGCU
rnacentral:tRNA from 1 species